GGAUCGUUGGUCUAGGGGUAUGAUUCCUGCUUUGGGUGCAGGAGGUCCCGGGUUCAAAUCCCGGACGAGCCC
rnacentral:tRNA from 1 species